GGGAGGCGGAGCUUGCAGUGAGCCGAGAUCCCGCCACUGCACUCCAGCCUGGGCGACAGAGCGAGACUCCGUCUCAACAACAAAAAAAAAAGAAUAUUUUAAUCUGUAUACAUCCCCUCACAUCCCCUCAAUCUUUCUUCCCCCUCUUCCCCUUUGCAAUUAGUGUGUUGAAAUUGGAUUGUUUGUUCUGAAGCAUUUCUGACAGAACAUAGAUAAUGGAACCCUGUGGUGUAGUUUAACAUGUUUCUCUUUAUUUUCAGUUAAUUGGUAGUUUACAAUUAAAGCAUGACCAGAUUCAGACUUGACUUUUGGGGGCAGGGGAUGGGUAAGACUUUGUCAUAGGUGAUGUGGUUGUCCUUCAGGAGGUACAUAAUACCUGGUUGUCUCUUAGUCCUAAGUUUGAAAGAAGCUUUUUUCACGGGAAUUUAUUACAUUUGGUAGGUUACAGUGAUUACUAUGAAGUAAUCAAUCACUUUAAUUUGGAUAGGAUUUAAACUUUCUGGUUUUACUCACUUCUAAGUAAUAUGGUUCACUCGACAAAUAUGUGCAUGCUAGUGUUUGAGUAUAUUGGUAAACUUUUGGAAGCUGGCAAAGUUUCAGAAGCUGGCAAUCUAAACAUCCAUAACUCUCUCAUAACCCUGUUAUAACAGCUAACAGAAAGGGGCCCUACCUAUAUACUUAAAGCUUUGGAUUUCAGUAUAGAUCCUGUUUGGAAGAGCUGAGUAGAGAUCUGCUCUGAUGCCCAAUAUCUGCUAUUUGCCUAUUAAGAACCAAACCUUUCCCUAUUCUUCAGGACAGCCCUGAUUGCAAGAAUUGAGCUUGGUGGCCCGUUCACCUUGAGCUUACACUGGAAAGAGUUACCCUUGCUUGCCCACUCUGUCUGGUCCCUACAAGUAGACUGUCACAGUUCCUGAAGGAAGUGAUAUUUAGUAACCUGGCUUAAUCUAAUCCUACACAGAAAAAAGAUGAUAUACCUUCACUGGAUAUAAGAAAAUCGGAAGCUUCUUAGAGGGACCAUGCAGGCAGACCAAGUGACUGCUGUUGAAAAAGAUGAAGAUGAUCUUUCUUACUCUUUCAUGACUAGAUUCGCGGGUAUGAAAUUGCAUUGUGUUGACAGAAUAAAGCAGGCUGCCAUGUGAAGAGUAAUUUGAGAUUAAAAUUCUUGGAAGUAAACAUGAUUGUGAAGACAAGAUGCAACAGAUGAAACAAUUAGAUACUGCCAAAAUUUGAAUGUAUUGCUGAGUAAUAUUUAUGGAUAUGCCACGGUUUAUUCAUCUGAUGGAUAUUUGGAUUGUUUACAGGGUUUUGCUGUUACAAAGCUGCUGUGAGCCAUUGUCAGUCUUUGGAAAACUCUUACAAAAUUAUGUACUUACCAUACAACCCAUCAGUGUCACUAAUUGUUAACAAAAAUGACAUUUCAAAGUGGUUUAUACCAUUUUACCUUCCUGCCAGCAGUGCGUGAGAUUUAUGGUUGCCCCACAUCCUCUCUAAUACUUGGUUUUGUCAGUUUUUUAAAAUUAUAAACCACUCUAGAGGGUGUAUAACUCCUGUGAGAGACAAGAAUGGGUUGCAUACUUGGUGACAGGGGAGUGGACUGUGGUAGCCAUUUGUACUGUUCACCAGGUAUCUUUGGCUCAGAAGUGCACGUGCUAGGAUUGUUCUUCCAAGCUUCCUUGUGUUUGGAUAGGGCCAUGUGACGAGUUGGCCAGUUAGUCGUGAGCAGAUAUGCUGUAUACCACUUGUAGGCAGGUCAUUUCCUUGCCCUUCGGAGUUUUCUUUCUUCUUCCAUGGAGACUAGUAACCCUCCAGAUGGGACUUUUCUGUCAGCUUAGAUCUCAGAAUAAGAAUGGUACAGAGCACCCAGCUAACUUGUGGUGAACAUGCAACAUGAGAGAGAUGUAAAGGCAAGACCCUAAAGUUUUUGAGUUGUUCGCAGAGCAUGACCUAGCCUAUCCUGACUGAUAAAAACAUUCCUAACUUCCUCAGCCUAACAGCAGGUAUGGAAUUGAAUUCAUUCUAUAUUUUAUCUUGAGACGGUCUCUGUCACAGUGACGUGAUCAUGGCUCACUGCAGUCUCUACCUACUGGGCUCAAGCUAUCCUCCUGCCUCAACCUCCCAAGUAGCUGGGACUACAGGCAUGUGAAACCUGUAGUUUGGCCAGUUUUUGUAUUUUUUAUAGAGAUGAGGUUUCACCAUGUUGCCCAGGCUUGUCUCAAACUCCUGAGCUCAAGCAAUCCACCUGCCUCAGCCUCCAGAAGUGCUAAGAUUACAGACGUGUGCCACCAUGCCUGGCCUGGAAUUGAAUUUAGUUGGCCUUUUAAUAUUGAAUCUAAAAUUUUCAGUGUUUUAGAGCUAAUUCUUUAAUACCCAACUCAGUUGACUUAAGCGAUUUAUAAAUUGGUUGGUAAUAUAGUAGGCACCCUCUAAGAUGGACCCCAGUGAUUUCCUACCUUUUGCUCUUCAUGCCCUGGUGUAAUCUCCUCCCGUUGAGUGUGGGCUGGACUUACAUUGUAUUGUAAACAACAAAAUACAGCAGAAGUGAUCAGAUGUCACUUCCGAGGUUAGGUCACAAAAAUACUGUGGCUUCCUACUUGGACCACCCUCUCUCUCAAUCUGGGGGAAGCCAGCUGCCAUGCUGUGAGCUGCCAAAUGGAAAGGCACAUGUGGCAAAGAACAGAGGUCUCCCACCAACAGUCCUGAAGCCUACCAAAAACCACAGAAGUGAGCUUGGAAGUGGAUUUGCCUCCAGAGGGUCCUUGAGAUGACUUCAGCCCUUUAUUGCAACCCUGUGAGAGACCCUCAGCCACAGUACAUCAAACAGAGAUGCAGAAUGUUACAAAUUCUCCAACUAGACAGCUGUGGACAGCUUCCACAACCACAUCAUCCUUGAGUAACUGCUAUGCUGUUCAAGACGAUGGAAACUUCAAAGUAACAACUGCAUCUUCUCAGAAGAAUUACCUUAUUCUAGGGAAGAGUAUCAUCCUCAGUUGAGAGUUCGGGAGUUGCUGGUACACUGUCCAGACAUCAUUUUCUAGUUUA
rnacentral:lncRNA from 1 species